GAGACGCUAGCUAAACGGUUAAAGCAUCGCCCUUUUAAGGCGACUAUUCCGCGUUCGAGUCGCGGGCGUCCCACCA
rnacentral:tRNA from 1 species